rnacentral:rRNA from 1 species
AUGAGUCCCACGGCCAUUAAUCUGCUUCUUCUCAUGCUUGCCAUAGCCGCCCAUACCACCUUCCAUGGCCGGCCGCAGGUGAGCAGACCUCUACCGGAGUUGAAGCCACACAUCACCAUGGGGGCGGGGCGUCUUGCCUUGUGGAAGCGAGCUGAUGAUUGCCACCGCACACCGCCGGCGACCCCACGAGCUCAUGUCGUCCCUGCGUUUCUCGACUCUUUCGACAACCUGAGAUACUAUCAUAGUAACCUCUCCACGAUACUAUUUUCCGGUAGGGUGCUUCCUCUGCUUGGCAACCUCUCCAAGCUACACUACCUUCGCCUCUCGUCUAAGAGAAACGAUGACAACCUCCCAUAUGGACAUGGUGAUGCGCAUAUGGACUCCACACAAGAUGUCUCAUGGUCAUGUCGUCCCGGUGGACUUCUACUGGACUUGAAGACCUCUACUGGACUUGAAGACCCGGUGGAAGCUAGCUGA